GGGGCUGGGGCUCAGUGGUAGAGCACGUGCCUAGCACACACAAGGCCCUGGGUUCGAUCCUCAGCACCA
rnacentral:tRNA from 1 species